AGAUUGAACGCUGGCGGCAUGCUUUACACAUGCAAGUCGAACGGUAACAGGCCGCAAGGUGCUGACGAGUGGCGAACGGGUGAGUAAUGUAUCGGAACGUGCCCAGUCGUGGGGGAUAACGCAGCGAAAGCUGCGCUAAUACCGCAUACGAUCUAUGGAUGAAAGCGGGGGACCUAAGGCCUCGCGCGAUUGGAGCGGCCGAUAUCAGAUUAGGUAGUUGGUGGGGUAAAGCUGACCAAGACCAACGAUCUGUAGCUGGUCUGAGAGGACGACCAGGCCAC
rnacentral:rRNA from 1 species